rnacentral:lncRNA from 1 species
GACGGAAUUGUUUGUCCGUUUAAGGUUUGAUUAUGUUACCAACACAACAAGCAAAGGUUUAUAAUCAAAUUUCAAUUUGGUUAAGACUUUAUUUAGCAUUACUUUUGAAAAGUGCUUUUAAGCCCCAAAAGUACAUUUAGAACUAUAAGUAAGGCUAAAUAUACAAAAUUUGAAGUUAAAAGUAUUUUUAAACCCAAAUGCAAUGUAACACCCUAUUUUGGCUCGGGUCUAAAAAGCCCAAACUACAACAGGCCUAUAGGGCCCAAAUCCAAACCAAACAGAGGCCAAAAAAAUUAACCCCCAGAUGACACUCAGAAACCCUAGGGUUUCAACAGCGCCGCAGCCACGAGCCUCGCGCGAUCCUCACCUGCAAGAAACAAACAGCAAAAAGGAAAGAAAUCAAAGAUUUGCACAUCAAAUAGGAUCAAAAAGAUACACUUCUUGAUUUGUUAUUCUUAUUUCAGCUAUAUAAAGCCACUGAAUGUACUGUAACGAGGAUCGGAAUUCGAAAUCAAUUAAAGAAAACAAUUACUUUCACAACCAAAAACAAAGAAAUCAAAUACCGAAAAAGCAGAAAAUCGAUCCAAAGGUCUACAUUUUUUUGCUUACUUUCGUUUACUGUUUUUUUUUUUGUUUAUAUUUUUAUUUUACUAAAAUAAAUAAGAGAAGGAAAGAAAUAACUUGUGUUUUGAGCCCAAAUCGCCGUGAACGGCCGAGGAAGCCGUCUCCGAGGAAAGACGGCAGGAAACCGAAAGAUUUCUUGGACUUUUGAGGCGUUUCUACUAAUCUUUUAAGGGUUUUGAGCCCGGAUUUGCGUUUAGGGGCUUCGGAAAGACCGGAUCUGAGAUUCUCCCCUUUUUCGGCCACCGCAGACGGCAGUGCCGUCGCCGAAGAUCGGCGGCUGGAGCGGUGACCAACGAUCAGCCGGUGCCUGGACCUAGGCCGGAGAACUGAGGGGUUGAGAGCUUUUUUUGGAUUUUUU